GUGUUCACUUUGGCAGCAUAUAUACUAAAAUUGGAACAAUACAGAGAAGAUUAGCACAGCCCUUGCUCAAGGAUAACACGCAAAUUCAUGAACCAUUCCAUAUUUUU